AUGCUAAUACCGCAUACGCCCUACGGGGGAAAGCAGGGGAUCUUCGGACCUUGCGCUAAUAGAUGAGCCUAAGUCAGAUUAGCUAGUUGGUGGGGUAAAGGCCUACCAAGGCGACGAUCUGUAGCGGGUCUGAGAGGAUGAUCCGCCACACUGGGACUGAGACACGGCCCAGACUCCUACGGGAGGCAGCAGUGGGGAAUAUUGGACAAUGGGCGAAAGCCUGAUCCAGCCAUGCCGCGUGUGUGAAGAAGGCCUUUUGGUUGUAAAGCACUUUAAGCGAGGAGGAGGCUACUUGGAUUAAUACUCUAGGAUAGUGGACGUUACUCGCAGAAUAAGCACCGGCUAACUCUGUGCCAGCAGCCGCGGUAAUACAGAGGGUGCGAGCGUUAAUCGGAUUUACUGGGCGUAAAGCGUGCGUAGGCGGCUUUUUAAGUCGGAUGUGAAAUCCCUGAGCUUAACUUAGGAAUUGCAUUCGAUACUGGGAAGCUAGAGUAUGGGAGAGGAUGGUAGAAUUCCAGGUGUAGCGGUGAAAUGCGUAGAGAUCUGGAGGAAUACCGAUGG
rnacentral:rRNA from 1 species